rnacentral:rRNA from 1 species
UUAUUUAAAAGAAAGACGACAAGACCCUAUUAAAUUUAACUUUAGUUUUACUGGGGCAGUAAAUUAAUUAUUAUUUUAUAUAAAAUUAAUAAAAAUUUAUCUAAUACAAUUAAAUAAUUCAAUUACUAUAGGGAUAACAGCGCAAUUUUCAUUAAAAGUUCUUAUACAAAUGAAAGAUUACGACCUCGAUGUUGAAUUAAUUACCUAAUAAUUAAGCAAAUUUAUAUAAAGGAAGUCUGUUCGACUUUUAAAUAAUUACAUGAUUUGAGUUCAGACCGGUGUAAACCAGGUCGGUUUCUAUCUUCUAAAAAAUUUUUUACAGUACGAAAGGACCUAAAAAUAUUUUAUAAUAUUGGCAGAUAAAUGCAUUAGAAUUAGAAUCUAAUCAAUCUUUAA